GUACAUAUAACCACUGGUUUUAUAUACAGC
rnacentral:misc_RNA from 1 species